rnacentral:lncRNA from 1 species
CUCAGGAUGAAGCUAGAGAAAGGAGGAAGGGGAGAAGGAGAGUCCUGGAGAGGAAAGUCAGAGAGAAGUUGGGGUUUAGGACAGGCGUCAAAUCCCAAAUUUUAUUUCAUUGGCCAUGAAUGUAUUUCAUUUGAUUUCUUUUUUAUGUAACAGCUUCAUCCUCUAUCCAAAGGACAUGCCCUUGGAAAAAGAGAGAUCUCUUCUAUGAAUCAAAUUCUCACUGGAGUGAGCCAGGAAACAUACUUUGGUGCCUGUUCCAGGGCUCGAUGGUAUCAGUGCUUCCUGAAUUCCUUGAAGCUGAAUCCAGAAAUAAUGAUAGAGAUCAUUAAAAACUCUUCAGCUUCAUUAAUACUUCUUCCAAAUUUCUCCAGUUGUAUCCAAAGAGAAAACACUGAAAAUCACAAUGAGGAGAUCUGCAGAGUUUCUCCAGCUCUCCUUACAUCCCCCCCCCCCCAAUUCCUGGAGCUGAACCUCUGUGCCCAUUCCUGUGAAAUACAGAAAUAGUGACUCCAUGGGCUCACAAACCCAUUGUUAAUUCCAGAGUCUCCGAGGGAGCCUAAGAAAAAAAAUUACCUUUGAAAAGCACCAGAAGGAAGAGGAGCUCCCUGCCAAAUCUCAUGCUGGUGAUCUGAGGUAGAAAGCAAAUGAUUUAGGAAUGGAGUCGAAAGGAGGUGAUGUGAGAG